rnacentral:rRNA from 1 species
GACGAACGCUGGCGGCGUGCUUAACACAUGCAAUUCGAACGGUAAGGCCCCAGCUUGCUGGGGUACACGAGUGGCGAACGGGUGAGUAACACGUGGGUGACCUGCCCUGCACUUCGGGAUAAGCCUGGGAAACUGGGUCUAAUACCGGAUAGGACCGCACCGUGAGGGUGUGGUGGAAAGUUUUUUCGGUGUGGGAUGGGCCCGCGGCCUAUCAGCUUGUUGGUGGGGUAAUGGCCUACCAAGGCGGCGACGGGUAGCCGGCCUGAGAGGGUGGACGGCCACAUUGGGACUGAGACACGGCCCAGACUCCUACGGGAGGCAGCAGUGGGGAAUAUUGCACAAUGGGCGGAAGCCUGAUGCAGCGACGCCGCGUGGGGGAUGACGGCCUUCGGGUUGUAAACUCCUUUCACCAUCGACGAAGGGUUUCUGACGGUAGAUGGAGAAGAAGCACCGGCUAACUACGUGCCAGCAGCCGCGGUAAUACGUAGGGUGCGAGCGUUGUCCGGAAUUACUGGGCGUAAAGAGCUCGUAGGUGGUUUGUCGCGUCGUCUGUGAAAUUCCGGGGCUUAACUCCGGGCGUGCAGGCGAUACGGGCAUAACUUGAGUACUGUAGGGGAGACUGGAAUUCCUGGUGUAGCGGUGAAAUGCGCAGAUAUCAGGAGGAACACCGGUGGCGAAGGCGGGUCUCUGGGCAGUAACUGACGCUGAGGAGCGAAAGCAUGGGGAGCGAACAGGAUUAGAUACCCUGGUAGUCCAUGCCGUAAACGGUGGGCGCUAGGUGUGGGUUUCCUUCCACGGGAUCCGUGCCGUAGCUAACGCAUUAAGCGCCCCGCCUGGGGAGUACGGCCGCAAGGCUAAAACUCAAAGGAAUUGACGGGGGCCCGCACAAGCGGCGGAGCAUGUGGAUUAAUUCGAUGCAACGCGAAGAACCUUACCUGGGCUUGACAUAUACAGGAUCGCGCCAGAGAUGGUGUUUCCCUUGUGGCUUGUAUACAGGUGGUGCAUGGUUGUCGUCAGCUCGUGUCGUGAGAUGUUGGGUUAAGUCCCGCAACGAGCGCAACCCUUGUCUUAUGUUGCCAGCACGUUGUGGUGGGGACUCGUAAGAAACUGCCGGGGUUAACUCGGAGGAAGGUGGGGAUGACGUCAAAUCAUCAUGCCCCUUAUGUCCAGGGCUUCACACAUGCUACAAUGGUCGGUACAGUGGGUUGCCAGUCCGUGAGGGCGAGCUAAUCCCGCAAAGCCGGUCUCAGUUCGGAUCGGGGUCUGCAACUCGACCCCGUGAAGUCGGAGUCGCUAGUAAUCGCAGAUCAGCAACGCUGCGGUGAAUACGUUCCCGGGCCU